UUUCAGAAAUCCUCGACAAAAACGAAAGAAAAUAAUUCUAAAACUCACUGAACUAAAAACCCACUCCUUAUUUACCCUCCUUGCCUCCUCUCCUUAUUCCCCCAACUGAAAACCCUAAUUCAAAUUGUUUAUUUCGAAUCCUCAGCUUCGAUUCAGUCUCUCUCCCAAUUUUGGCUCCAAAUUCGAAUCGCAUCGAUAGGAGCUACCAUGGCGCUCCGGAAAAAUCACAGGCCAACGCCAAUUUGAUGCAGAUCGGCCUGUGGCAGUUCGCGUAAUUUCGAUCGAACAAAAUGUAGGGCUUUGAAGCGAUGACCUUCAACGUUCACGGUGGGCCGGUGGCUACUUGGAGGCCAUCGUCCAGGGACAACGUGUCGAUCUUCUCACCGCCGCUGAGUACAACAAUCUGUGCCAGUCCGAGACCCUCGACGACAUUAAGAUGCACCUCUCUGCCACCGAGUAUGGCCCCUCCCUCCAAAACAGUGCGCUUUGGUGUAUCUCUCUCUCUUAUCGUGGCUUGCAUUUUAAUUUGUUCGUAGCUGAGGAAAUUGAAUAGAAUUGGAGACUGUAUUAUGGAUCUUAUGCUUUGAUAGUUUGAUUUGAUGUAGUUUCCUACUGAAAUGAUGCCUAUUGAUCUGGAUUUUUAGUUUUCUAUAGGUAAUGAUUUGGCUUUGGUGUUUGGUGGUGUUGAUUUCAGAAUUAGUAUGAGUAACAAUCAUAUGAUGUCAUAAGUCGAUCAGUGGUGGUUUAUCUUUGAAUGCACCUAACAUUCCUGCACGUAUGCAAACAGAUUGCAUCUGGAUAUCUGUAGUAGAACGAGGGAUUUGGAUUUUGCUGCCUAGCUCUGGUUUAUUGUCAUGCAUGCAUAUACAAAAGAUGGUUUAUGUGUGCACUGGUUCUUUUCUUUUGCAUCUGAUCGACUGCACUUAAAUUGGGUUGUCAAUUGUGUGUACUGCAAUUUUAAACAAUGCUAUUGUUUGAAUAGUUAUUGUCUAUCUGUACGCAAUCUUAGGAUCUUCAUCUAAUAUGUUGGUAUAUAUAUGAGUUUAUAUGAACUUAUAAUAGACAAACACACACAAGCAGACAUGAUAGAUUCCUUUUUUCCUUUUCUAUUAGGGCUGUCUUAGGCCAUGCUUCCUAUACCUAGACCAUUUGUAUAUAGGGAAAGUAUGACCAGCCCUCAAUUUUGCCAGUUGCUGGCUGAUAAAUAAUCUCCACUUUGUAGAAUCAUAGACCUGAGAAUGAAUCUUGCCUACAUAAUUCAAAUUACAAAUCUGUCAGGCCCUUUAGGAACAGCACAUAAUGGUAAAGAACACCCUCAGUCUAUUACCGAUCAGACAAAUGGUGGGAGCCUUUCGUUGUGCUUUUCUUUAUGUUGAUGGGGGAGAUUGCUUGGGCAAUGAUUUGGAAGGAAAUAUGGUGUUGUUGAUUCCCUAGGUUUGGCAUGAGGAAUAUUCCAACAUAACAUUCUUUGUACACCUUUAGAGUAGGUUUGUCAUGAACUCAUGAUAUCUAAUAUACUUCCAAUCUUAUGAAACUUAAUGCAUUAGUGUCUGUAAGUGAAGUAUUUACUAUUCAUGUAUUAAGCACCAUCGAGUUUGUAGUGAGAGAAGCAUAUAUAACUAACUCUGCUUCUUAUCAAUAUGUAACAGGUAUAUAUGGCUACCUCAGCCAAAAAGGCUAUGGUUGUCCAUGUUAUGAAAAUAUUAUCUGCAGAUGUCAUUUGUUUUAUUGAUAUUUUAGUUUCCUGACCAUUAGUCUCUGUUCAUGACCGUCAUUUUGUUGUGGAAUUGAUUUGCUUUCAUUAUUAUUAAUUGCAUUGUGUGUUAAAAUAGUGGAAAGAGUUUGUUACUUACUGUUGUACUUUAGUUCAGAUACUAAAGUACACUCCUCAAACAAUUAUGAUUUUUAGUUUUAAGUUCUAGUAUUAAUAAUUGCAUGGAAUUCAAAAAGAUAGUUUGAGUUUGUUUAGGAUUAUUUUCUUUGAAAGGGACGAUGUUGUUCUAUGAGCUGAGAUGUUGGCCCCAUUGGCAUUGGAACUUGAAGAAGAAAGAUAGAUUUGUUUAGGGUGAAAUCAGAAGGAAGUGUGGGAUAGAUAUGCAGGGCAAUAUAUUUCAAUCUUUAUGUAUUUGUUUAGUAUAUGUCUGUGAGAUUGGAGACUGAUCAGCAGUAUGAUUUAUUAGGUUUCAGUAAUUUCUGUUCUCAAGUUAGGUCCUUUUAUGAGAAAUUUAAGAGAAGCAAUUCCAUUUAAGGUUUGAAGUAAGAUUUAAAAUGUUGUUUGACAGGGCAAUCGUGAUGGGCCUGAUGCUUCAUACCAACACAAAGCAACUGAUUAGAGGACAAAAUUACCAAGAUGCAUUGGAAGUGCUCAGCAUUGGGGAGGUUAGUUGCUGCUUUUUGCAACUGAUAGUUUUCUUCUUAUGAAAUUUGACAUGUCACAUGGCUUGUCAUAGCAGCUUUGAAUAUGUUUCCAGUGACUAAGAAUGACACACACAGGAAAUGAAUGUGGAAUUUAAUGAAGGCAUAACUUUAACUUUUUCUUUGGCAUGGGUUUGCCUUGCGUUUCUUAUACUCAGUCAUUACAAAAAUUUGACAAGGACAGGAAGCACUGAGAGCUUUCGGUAUGGUACAUAUCCCAAUCAAGAACUUCAUGGCUUGAUACCUGAUCAAUUAUGAAGAAGAUGAAGUGGUGGCUGAAGGAAAGAUAUCUUCAACAAACCCAAGUACAAGAGUAAACCGGGAAGUAAUCUGCUGUACUAGAUGCCCAAAGAAUUCAGAACUUUGUGAUGCAUGUUUUGUAAAGAAUUAUGUAUCAGAACUUCAAUGAAAUGUAUAUUUUUCUUUUA